GUGGAUUAGAUACCCUGGUAGUCCACGCUGUAAACGAUGGAUACUAGGUGUGGGAGGUAUCGACCCCUUCCGUGCCGCAGUAAACGCAAUAAGUAUCCCGCCUGGGGAGUACGGCCGCAAGGUUGAAACUCAAAGGAAUUGACGGGGGCCCGCACAAGCAGCGGAGCAUGUGGUUUAAUUCGAAGCAACGCGAAGAACCUUACCAGAACUUGACAUCGUCUGAAUUACCCGUAAUGGGGGAAGUCCUUCGGGACAGAUAGACAGGUGGUGCAUGGUGGUCGCCAGCU
rnacentral:rRNA from 1 species